UUCUAGAUCAAGGAGCAUAAAUAUGGUCAUUCAACAAAGUCAAGAGCAAACUUCCUCAAGCCAAGAUGUUUCUUUGCAAGCCACAUCAUCUAAGAAGAGGAGUAGGGGGCCAUCAAAGGCAAUACAAUCAAGUAAGCCUAUGGUGCUUGAAUUUAAUGAUUUUGACUUGCCUACUGGUGAAUGGGAACCCGCUUAUGGAAAACAAAUUGGUGCAUGUGCUAAGAGAUUAGACAUCACUGUGAAUGAGUAUGCAAAAAUAGAUAAAGUGGAUCAGGAAAAUAUAUGGGAGGAGACAAAGGUAUAAACUAUUCACUUACUAGUUAGUCAUGUUGCUAUUCAAAAUAUUAGUUAACUUUUUUUUUAAUCCACAGCAAAUGUUCCACAUUGAGGAUCCAAGUGGAGAAAGGCAAAAAAGGUUUCAUAGUGUUGUGGCUUCGCGAUUCAGCUGUCACAAGUCGAAUUUAAGGGCACGAUUCAUCACUUUUAAAAACCCAUACCCGACCAUUUCUCCUAAAGCAAAUAUGAAGCCAUGGGAAGUGUAUGAAGGUUACUUUACAGAGGAGAAAUGGAACAGAUUCGAAAUAUAUAGUAAAUCAGCAAAAUUCAAGGAAAAGAGUGAAAAAGGGAAGGAAAAUGCAAAGCUAAAAAAAUGUCGCCAUCACUUGGGUCGAAACAGUUUUCAAAGAGCUCGGAUAAUUUGGAAUAAGCUAAAGAGACUUGAAAAUAGAUUUCCUGCUCUGGCAGAAUCUUCAACUGCUGGUAACACUUCCCAGAGCAGUACAUCAACUGGUUCUAUUUUUUAUCGUCGAGCUCUUGAGUGGGUUUUAGCUCAUGAAAAGCGGUUGCCAGAUGGAACAUGGGGCAUCGACCCAAAAGAUACGGAGACUUUUCUAAUUGCCAAUAUAGUUGAAGAGAACUUGCAAAAACAAGUAAAGGAAUCUGAGGAAGGAGAGUGUAAACAAUCAGAGCAAGGCGUUGAUGCCCUUACUUUGGCAUUUGGGAAAAAGGACCAUCAUGGAUUUGUGAAAGGACUUGGUGGAUGUGGGAUUGGUGUCGGCUAUAGAAAAGCAUUUGGCCCGGUAAAAGGUAAAAACAUGUCUAAAAGUGGUUGCUCAUUACAAGAACUAGAUGAAUUUAAAGAGAACUUAACUCAGGAAUUUGAAGAAAAAUUAAAGGAAGGCAUUGCAGCAGCUGUAAACUUAUCUUUAUGCUUUCAUACCACACAUGACUGUUAAUGAUUUGCAAGUAAAUGAUGCUCAACCUUCCCCAUCUUCCUCAACCAAUCCAACGGAGCUAAGUCCUCGCUUGUUAGAGGUCCCAACUAAAUGUCGUCUUGCUUUAGUUGAUUGAGUUCAGUGGGAACUCAGUGAUUGUGGCCCAUGGAACAGCAGAACCUUAUCCUAGUGGAGUGAUUCAUAAUAAGAAAAUGAACCAUGACAUCUAUAGAGUUAGUGUUGACCAUGUUUAAAGUGAUUAUUCUCACCUAAAUCUCCCAGAAGAGACUGAUGACGGUAUCACCAAGUUGGGUGAGGCGAAAGGUUAUUUUUUGGGGUGGCCGGCAGAUUUAGUCUUCUUUACUGAUGAGGUUAUGACUUUGGAAAAAAAAGACGGAUAAUGUAUUGGUGCAAACCAAAGAGAAAGUUGAUAGUUGCGGACCUAUCAACUCAGAGCAUUCAACUAUUAAAGGCAAAGGCAUAACUAUUCUAGAAAAUAUUGUAGACUGGUGAACAGUAUUCUAUGUUGUAUUAUUGCAUGACUUCAGGAAGUGGAGAUUAUGAUACUACGACAAUUCCAUUGAAGGCUCCAUGUUUUAUCAAAAGGAAGACACACAAAUUUAUGUUACUAGUGAUGAUGUCUCUGAAUUACGAGGAGCAUGGGCUAAUAUUUCAUUAAUCCAUGUCUACAUAUUGUACUUAAUUGAAGAGCAUAUCUCAUUAUUUCAGAAGACUAAAAUCAAAUUCUUGUGCCCCCAAAAAAUUUCUGCAGCUGAAAUCAAGAAAGAUUUCCUUGAAAUCCAAAUGUAUUUGAAAAAUGCUUUUCUUACUGAAUUAAGGAAAAAGGAUGCACAAUGCAAAUUCAUUUUGGCUCCAUAUAUGGAAGCGUAUGUACUACUGAUCCUUGAAAUAUUUACUUUUUCAUAAUUUUAUUAUUUUAAUUAUGUGAAUAAUACAAACAAGUUUAU